rnacentral:lncRNA from 1 species
GGUACAUGGCCAGAGCUCCACAGAUGGUUGUCUCUUUCUCCAUGACAACCCUUGGAGGGUGCAGGAGUGUGGGGUGCCCCCUGUGGCUACCUAUGACCCUCAGACCUGGAGGCUGGGAGGAUGGGGACAGGAGUGGCUUCCUCCCUCUUGGCUCUAGAGAUUGGCUGGAGUGACUGGCCAAACAAAGGAGUGUCCAGUGGGGACAGUGAGUCCAUCUCCCAGGAGUUGAUACCAGUCAGGGCAGCUGGUCAGUCUUUGGAGAAGGCUUGGAAGAAAGCCAGCAGAGUCUGAACAACCACCACUAUCGUUGUGGAAUUUCAGACCUCAGCGUGGAGGACGUGUGCUGUGGCCUGGGGAAGCGGGGCGAGCCCAUGUCACUGAGCCCUGGGUGUGCACCCGCGGGAGGCUGUGUGCGGCCGAGUGCGUGUGGGGACCAAGGAAGAUCA